rnacentral:piRNA from 1 species
UGAAAAGCAUCGCCUGACAGCUGUUUUUUU